UACGAAGGGGGCUAGCGUUGCUCGGAAUCACUGGGCGUAAAGGGUGCGUAGGCGGGUUUUUAAGUCAGGGGUGAAAUCCUGGGGCUCAACUCCAGAACUGCCUUUGAUACUGAAGAUCUUGAGUCCGGGAGAGGUGAGUGGAACUGCGAGUGUAGAGGUGAAAUUCGUAGAUAUUAGGAAGAACACCGGUGGCGAAGGCGGCCCACUGGCUCGAUACUGACGCUGAGGUGCGAAAGCGUGGGGAGCAAACAGG
rnacentral:rRNA from 1 species